rnacentral:rRNA from 1 species
CAUGUAGGCGGUUUUGUAAGCCUGGUGUGAAAUCCUGCAGCUUAACUGUAGAAUUGCAUUGGGUACUGCAAGACUUGAAUCACGGAGGGGAAACUAGAAUUCCAGGUGUAGGGGUGGAAUCUGUAGAUAUCUGGAAGAAUACCGGUGGCGAAGGCGGGUUUCUAGCCGAUGAUUGACGCUGAGGUGCGAAAGUGCGGGGAGCAAACA